rnacentral:rRNA from 1 species
GAUGAACGCUAGCUACAGGCUUAACACAUGCAAGUCGAACGAGUGGCGGACGGGUGAGUAAUGUCUGGGAAACUGCCCGAUGGAGGGGGAUAACUACUGGAAACGGUAGCUAAUACCGCAUACCAUCGGAUGUGCCCAGAUGGGAUUAGCUAGUAGGUGGGGUAAAGGCUCACCUAGGCGACGAUCCCUAGCUGGUCUGAGAGGAUGACCAGCCACACUGGAACGGAGACACGGCCCAGACUCCUACGGGAGGCAGCAGUGGGGAAUCUUCCGCAAUGGACGAAAGUCUGACGGAGCAACGCCGCGUGAGUGAUGACGGCCUUCGGGUUGUAAAGCUCUGUUAAUCGGGACGCGGUACCGGAAUAGAAAGCCACGGCUAACUAUGUGCCAGCAGCCGCGGUAAUAC